AAAGCUUUAAGUUAAAAAAACUAUUAGCCUUCAAAGCUAAAAUUAUAAUCUUUAUAAGCUUUA
rnacentral:tRNA from 1 species